rnacentral:rRNA from 1 species
UACGUAGGGGGCAAGCGUUGUCCGGAUUUAUUGGGCGUAAAGAGCGUGUAGGCGGCCAGGUAGGUCAGCUGUGAAAACUCGAGGCUCAACCUCGAGACGUCGGUUGAAACCAUCUGGCUAGAGUCCGGAAGAGGAGAGUGGAAUUCCUGGUGUAGCGGUGAAAUGCGCAGAUAUCAGGAAGAACACCCGUGGCGAAGGCGGCUCUCUGGGACGGUACUGACGCUGAGACGCGAAAAGCGUGGGGGAGCGAACAGG